rnacentral:rRNA from 1 species
ACUACGGGUGGCAGCAGUGAGGAAUAUUGGUCAAUGGGCGAGAGCCUGAACCAGCCAAGUCGCGUGAGGGAGUACUGCCCUAUGGGUUGUAACCCUCUUUUGUCGGGGAGCAAAAGCCGGACGUGUCCGGCUGUGAGAGUACCCGAAGAAAAAGCAUCGGCUAACUCCGUGCCAGCAGCCGCGGUAAUACGGAGGAUUCGAGCGUUAUCCGGAUUGUUUGGGUUUAAAGGGGGCGCAGGCGGAGUUUCAAGUCAGCGGUCAAAUCGUGGGGGUAAACCCCAGCCAGCCGUUGAAACUGGGGGUCAAGAGUGUGCGAGAGGUAUGCGGAAUGCGUGGUGUAGCGGUGAAAUGCAUAGAUAUCACGCAGAACACCGAUUGAGAAGGCAGCAUACCGGUGCACAACUGACGCUCAGGCACGAAAGCGUGGGUAUCGAACAGGAUUAGAUACCCCUGUAGUC